CAGGAGCGGGGCUGGAAAGAAGCUCAGAAAGAGAGUCUGGGAACGUGGCCGAUGGGCGGCACGAUGGAGAUCAAAGACCUCACCACUCCGCCCUCUUGGGAAGAGGCAUUAAUAAGAAAGUGGAAGACGGACGGUCUGGGGAAGAGAUCUCCAGCUGAGGUGGCGUGUUCCCGCUGGUAGAAAAACUCCUGGAUGAAUCAAGACUGACAGUGAUGCAGGUUGUGGAAUGGGAAAAUCUUCCUGGGGAACACCUGUUUCUGGAGGUCACCAGCAGCCUCUUUGAAGAGUGAGGAGUGAAGAGUAGAAGCAGCCCGG